rnacentral:rRNA from 1 species
GUCUUGAAACACGGACCAAGGAGUCUAAUAUUUAUGCGAGUGUUUGGGUGUUAAACCCAUACGCGGAAUGAAAGUGAACGGAGGUGGGAACCCUCAAGGGCGCACCAUCGACCGAUCCGGAAGUUUACGGAUGGAUUUGAGUAAGAGCAUAACUAUUGGGACCCGAAAGAUGGUGAACUAUGCCUGAAUAGGGUGAAGCCAGGGGAAACCCUGGUGGAGGCUCGCAGCGGUUCUGACGUGCAAAUCGAUCGUCAAAUUUGGGUAUAGGGGCGAAAGACUAAUCGAACCAUCUAGUAGCUGGUUCCUGUCGAAGUUUCCCUCAGGAUAGCAGUAACGUUUUCAGUUUUAUGAGGUAAAGCGAAUGAUUAGAGGCCUUAGGGAUGAAACAUCCUUAACCUAUUCUCAAACUUUAAAUAUGUAAGAAGUCCUUGUUACUUAGUUGAACGUGGACAUUUGAAUGUACCGUUACUAGUGGGCCAUUUUUGGUAAGCAGAACUGGCGAUGCGGGAUGAACCGAACGCGAGGUUAAGGUGCCGGAAUGCACGCUCAUCAGACACCACAAAAGGUGUUAAUUCAUCCAGACAGCAGGACGGUGGCCAUGGAAGUCGGAAUCCGCUAAGGAGUGUGUAACAACUCACCUGCCGAAUGAAUUAGCCCUGAAAAUGGAUGGCGCUCAAGCGUGCUACCCAUACCUCGCCGCCAGGGUAGAAACGAU